GAAGAAAAAGAUAAAGUGAACAAAUAUAUAAAACACUAGAAAAGUAAAAAUAAAGACAGAAGUGUUGCUUGGUAUGUGGACAUUUUGCCAUCUGCGACACAAGGCUUUGGUGUCGAUUUUAAGGGAACGGAGACUGAACUCGGAUUAGUAAUGAUAAACAAGCCAGCUUGAAAACCAAUUCUGUCCACGUGAAAGUUUGCUACAGUUUAUCGUCCUUCUGGGCACACGAUCUACGCGUAAUUAUUAAGUCGGUGUUUAUAUGUAUAAGGAUGUGUCAAAGGUUUUCACAUAUGGCAAGGUAAACGUUGCAGCUCACAAGUGCAAAGACCACGUGGGUAGCCAGAGGGCUAGGUAGCUGGAAAGUUAAUGACGUUCUGGUGAAUACAUACCUUGAAAAAAGUUAGUUGAGGAUAUGUUUUCAGGUGAGAAACGUGAUCGUAACACCUCCUGCCUCACCUUUUGCAUUUCCCAUGGAAGCAGAAUGGAGCGUAUUUUGUGUUGUGGCCAUGAUAACACUGACUAGUGAUCACACCUCUCUCCCCAGCCCCUCUCCCCUGUCGACCCAUCUCACCACUUCGUUAGGCCUGGGAGUAGAUUAUUGCAAACUUCACAUUGGAUUUCUCUAUGUUUAAUGCUUUCUCUACCAAGAACCAAGACCGAGCCUCCUCCUCAGCCGGUAACACCAGCCCUGACACCCCUCUUUCUUCAAGCGUGCUUCCACAGUGUUGUGAAUCAACAUCAAAAGAAAAUCUGGGGAAAAGAUGGUGUCAUCAAGAGCUAUGGCAUUCCAUUCAUCAGCUUUUAAGACAUUUAAAAUUUCAAGAUAGACUAAGGGUGCAUAAUCUGACUCAAGGUCUGUAAGGUGCAACGUUUUGCUGAAUGUAUGGAACGGCGAUGUCAACAUUUACACAGCUAUGAUGCCCUGGAAGGGAUUUGCGAGUUAUUUUUCGUCACAUUUUUGUUUCAUUAACAGAACAUUUACUUUAACUGAUAAUGACAUGUUAAAAUAACACAAUUUCAGUUACUUUUAUGCUGGAAUUAAAAAAAAAACUUAGACACCACCUCCCAGCCUAAGAAAUCCGUAUCCCACAGUAUCAUCUAAAAAUACUCAUUUUCCCAUCCCCACACAUGCAGGCACAUAAUGGUCCUAGUAAAAUUUAUGUGGGAAAGAGUCAUGCACAAUAAGCAGAACAUGCAUCAUUCUUAGAAUUAGACAUUUAUUUAGUCCAAAUUGAAAUUUCAAAAAUAAAAUGGUCAAGAAGCGUAAUGGAAUAACUCCAUGUAAACAAUUAUUCCAAAAAAAAAAAAAAAUUACAAAUCAAAUUUUCCCGGGACAUCACAAAUGCAUAUACACACUCCCCAAAGUCAUGACAUACUAGCUGCAAGCACACUGUCACAUUUAUUUCCUGAAAUACAAUCCUCAGCAAAUCUUGUGAUCACUCAAAAGUCAGGCACUGUUUCCAUUCACUCAUGAUAUAACUAUAUUUCUUUCCAAACAACUAUUUUCAGUAAACAAAUGCUGUGAUCUAACAUGCUGCACUUCUCUCAAAUGGUCACAUCAUCUCAGCACAACAGUCUACUCAUCUCUUGAAAGGCACACAGAAUGUUCCAGCAGAACGAUUUUCAUAAACAGCAGCAUCAACACACAUGAGGUGACUGAUAACUGCAUAAACAUGCAAGCACACCUGACAAUAGUUCACGCUGGGAAUGACAUGCGGUACAUUUCACAGUCGUCGGCAUUAACAAUGCACACAACACUGUUAUCAAAAGUAGUUUUUAUGUCUGGAUUUGUAUGCAUACGGAUAAAUCAACCUGUCAUGAUUCAAGAUAAAUGCACACCCUUCAACAUACUGUGAUAUAGCUGAACAUUUCACUACUUUUCAUUUCAUAUGUGCUGUGUAUUUAAUCAUUCUCUCUCAUAUAUAUUGCACACAUACAUAUACACACUAUAUCCUAAAUCAAUCGGUAAUGCACUCUAUACAUUGAUACACACUGUAUAGCCCAUGUACACUUUAAGAUAAGCAACACUAUUCCCAGACUAUCACAGCACAGGUUAAGUCCCUUCACUGUGAAGUUUCUAUUUCGUUAACAGAAUAAAUAUUUUCCAUCAAGCAACAGUGUUUUCUUGUGUUUUCUUGUGAACAUGAUUUUAUAAAUUCUCAAGACACUCAAGCUCUUUAAAUAUGAAAUUUGGAAUGUUCAUUUUCAUAAUGCACAUAUCCAUUUACCACAAAUAUAUACAACUGGAUCUAACAACUUAAUUUCAUGAUGAUCAAAAACAAACCAACUUAUAUGUGCACUUCCCCACUUGCUGCUGAGCAUAAUGGACUAAUACAAGAGCGUCACAAGAAACAGAACCAGAGUUUACAAACUGCAAAAGCUAGUGGUGAGGGUGAAUGGGAAGGGAUGUACUAACUGUGAAAAAAGGAGGAGACAACCAAUGAGAUAUUCCCUAAAGAGGCGAGUCUUCAAGUCCAGUCCAGGUUUGAAAGCAUUGAAGGUUGUCCCUGUGAGAAGCUACAGAGAAAAGGCAUUCCAGACAAUGGGAACCAGAAAUUUACAGAUAUAUAAAGCUUACUUCGCUGAUGGUGUCUGUGAAUGGCAUCAGUGAUGCAUAACAACAUAUGAAAGAUAUAGUGCUAUCUGCUUGAUGAUGUUCCUGUGUCAGAAAAGUGGCGUAGAUUCUAUUUAGAGCUGGCUAAGGUAGAGAAAUGGUAGAGUCACUAAGAAAUGCAAAAGUAUCUAAGGUGCAAAUUUUGUACAAUAAGGAUUUAGCUCACUGAAGAGAGUAAUUAGAGAUAAAAGAAUGAAGUAUUUAUGUCCAUAUUAGUUUCAAAUACACAAAUAAAAAAAACCAGUUCAUUCUAUUUGUGAGUAACAUUGCACUGGGACUUGAAAAAGCAAACUGAAUAAGUAGUGCAAACAAAAUUCUCAUAGAUCAGAUAAUUUUCUCAGACAUGUAUGAUUUCUUUUGCAAAGCAAAUGAUUUCAACUUGAUGCUCAGCAACAUUGAAACAGGCAUGUACUGGCAAAGCCCUUCUCAACAGUGCGCGAGGUUACAAGCUUCAUAGAAGACUGCAAUACAAUGUAAGCUGACAUAAAUGAAGUAAAAAAAAUGCAAACGAUGGCUUUCACUGCAAAUGCGCAAUGGCAGCAAGAUAGAGGAAUGAGUAAAGGUCAUUUUUAGAGAAAGAUGAGGCAAUUGCAGGGGGGAGGAGGAAGUAGCACAAUUAAUAUCAAAUUAUUGACUGAAAGCGGUAUGUCUAAAUACUGUAUGCACGCAGAAAGGACAGGCUUGAAAAAAAUGCAAAACACCAUCU
rnacentral:lncRNA from 1 species